UACGUAGGGUGCAAGCGUUGUCCGGAAUUAUUGGGCGUAAAGAGCUCGUAAGCGGUUCGUCGCGUCGGCUGUGAAAUCCCGGAGCUCAACUCCGGGUCUGCAGUCGAUACGGGCGGACUCGAGUUCGGCAGGGGAGACUGGAAUUCCUGGUGUAGCGGUGAAAUGCGCAGAUAUCAGGAGGAACACCGGUGGCGAAGGCGGGUCUCUGGGCCGAUACUGACGCUGAGGAGCGAAAGCGUGGGGAGCGAACAGG
rnacentral:rRNA from 1 species